rnacentral:rRNA from 1 species
CUACGGGAGGCACCAGUCGAGAAUCUUCGGCAAUGGACGCAAGUCUGACCGAGCGACGCCGCGUGCGGGAUGAAGGCCUUCGGGUUGUAAACCGCUGUCAGAGGGAAGGAAAUUUUGACCGAACCUCAGAGGAAGUACGGGCUAAGUUCGUGCCAGCAGCCGCGGUAAGACGAACCGUACGAACGUUAUUCGGAAUCACUGGGCUUAAAGGGUGCGUAGGUGGUCCGCUAAGUUGGGUGUGAAAUCCCUCGGCUCAACCGAGGAAUUGCGCUCAAUACUGACGGACUUGAGGGAGACAGAGGUGAGCGGAACUGAUGGUGGAGCGGUGAAAUGCGUUGAUAUCAUCGGGAACACCUGUGGCGAAAGCGGCUCACUGGGUCUCUUCUGACACUGAGGCACGAAAGCCAGGGGAGCGAACGGGAUUAGAUACCCGUGUAGUC